rnacentral:rRNA from 1 species
GAUGAACGCUGGCGGCGUGCCUAAUACAUGCAAGUCGAGCGAACGGACGAGAAGCUUGCUUCUCUGAUGUUAGCGGCGGACGGGUGAGUAACACGUGGAUAACCUACCUAUAAGACUGGGAUAACUUCGGGAAACCGGAGCUAAUACCGGAUAAUAUUUUGAACCGCAUGGUUCAAAAGUGAAAGACGGUCUUGCUGUCACUUAUAGAUGGAUCCGCGCUGCAUUAGCUAGUUGGUAAGGUAACGGCUUACCAAGGCAACGAUGCAUAGCCGACCUGAGAGGGUGAGCCGCCACAGGAGAAGAGAGACGGGGUCGAGACUCCCGGGGGGCGCAGCUGGGGGGACUCUCCCAAAGGGGGAAAGAGCGUGAGGGAGACGCGCCGGGUGUGAUAAGAGGGUUUUGGGAUCAAAAAACUGUUUUAUGAGGAAAAAACAUAUGUGUAAGUAUCUGCGCACAUUGUGGGGGCCUAUAAACAAAACCCCGCGUAAAACUGC